UUGGAGGGCAAGUCUGGUGCCAGCAGCCGCGGUAAUUCCAGCUCCAAUAGCGUAUAUUAAAGUUGUUGCAGUUAAAAAGCUCGUAGUUGAAUUUCGGGAUCAAUACGUCGGUCGUGCUUCGGUACGUACUGGCGUAAUUGAUUUCUCCCUUCUGACGAACCAUGAUGUCAUUAACUUGGUGUCAUGGGAAAUCAGGACUGUUACUUUGAAAAAAUUAGAGUGUUUAAAGCAGGCUCACGCUUGAAUACAUUAGCAUGGAAUAAUGAAAUAGGACGUUCGAUCCUAUUUUGUUGGUUUUUAGGAUCAACGUAAUGAUUAAUAGGGAUAGUUGGGGGCAUUAGUAUUCAAUUGUCAGAGGUGAAAUUCUUGGAUUUAUUGAAGACUAACUACUGCGAAAGCAUUUGCCAAGGAUGUUUUCAUUAAUCAAGAACGAAAGUUAGGGGAUCGAAGACGAUCAGAUACCGUCGUAGUCUUAACCAUAAACUAUGCCGACUAGGGAUCGGAUGAUGUUAAUUUUUUAAUGACUCAUUCGGCGCCUUACGGGAAAC
rnacentral:rRNA from 2 species